AGAGUUUGAUCAUGGCUCAGAACGAACGCUGGCGGCAGGCUUAACACAUGCAAGUCGAACGCUCGUAGCAAUACGGGAGUGGCAGACGGGUGAGUAACGCGUGGGAACAUACCUUUUGGUUCGGAAUAACUGAGAGAAAUUUCAGCUAAUACCGGAUGUGCCCUUCGGGGGAAAGAUUUAUCGCCAAAGGAUUGGCCCGCGUCUGAUUAGCUAGUUGGUGAGGUAACGGCCCACCAAGGCGACGAUCAGUAGCUGGUCUGAGAGGAUGAUCAGCCACACUGGGACUGAGACACGGCCCAGACUCCUACGGGAGGCAGCAGUGGGGAAUAUUGGAUAAUGGGGGCAACCCUGGUCCAGCUAUGCCGCGUGAGUGAUGAAGGCCUUAGGG
rnacentral:rRNA from 1 species